UACGGAGGAUGCAAGCGUUAUCCGGAUUUAUUGGGCGUAAAGCGUCCGCAGGUGGCUAUUCAAGUCUGCUGUCAAAGCUCGGAGCUUAACUCCGAAUCGGCGGUGGAAACUGAACAGCUAGAGUGCAGUAGGGGUAGAGGGAAUUCCCAGUGUAGCGGUGAAAUGCGUAGAGAUUGGGAAGAACACCCGUGGCUAAGGCGGCUCUCUAGUACGGUACUGACGCUGAGACGCGAAAGCGUGGGGAGCGAACAGG
rnacentral:rRNA from 1 species